rnacentral:rRNA from 1 species
UACGAACCGUGCGAACGUUGUUCGGAAUCACUGGGCUUAAAGGGCGCGUAGGCGGGCAGGCAAGUCAGGGGUGAAAGCCCACGGCUCAACCGUGGAAGCGCCUUUGAUACUGCCGGUCUCGAGGGAGGUAGGGGCGUGCGGAACUUCCGGUGGAGCGGUGAAAUGCGUAGAUAUCGGAAGGAACACCGGUGGCGAAAGCGGCGCGCUGGACCUCUUCUGACGCUGAGGCGCGAAAGCCAGGGGAGCAAACGGG